rnacentral:rRNA from 1 species
UACGUAGGGGGCAAGCGUUGUCCGGAUUUAUUGGGCGUAAAGAGCGUGUAGGCGGCUUGGUAGGUCCGCUGUGAAAACUCGAGGCUCAACCUCGAGAUGUCGGCGGAAACCACUUGGCUAGAGUCCGGAAGAGGCGAGUGGAAUUCCCGGUGUAGCGGUGAAAUGCGCAGAUAUCGGGAGGAACACCAAUGGCGAAGGCAGCUCGCUGGGACGGUACUGACGCUGAGACGCGAAAGCGUGGGGAGCAAACAGG